CCACGCCUGAAGUCCCGAGGGACCCGGGGCCAAGGGCGCAGUAAGGGUGUGGGCUGCGAGGAGGGCGGGUUCGGGACGAGACGUGCCGGAGAGGAGGGAAGACGCGGACCUCCGCUUGAUUAAUAAUAAACGUCUACCGUUGUUCCGAUGUCUUUUGAAAGUAGGCAUAUCUUUCUAAGAAGGAGCAAUCUGCAAGUGAGCUCGGAGGCAGACGUGACAUUGGUUGACCUGUGGGAAGCUCUCAUGUUCAUCCAAUGCUAACUGCAUUCUGGGAAUACCAGAUGCAGUUCUCAAGUUAUAAUUACCUGGAAUGAAGGAUGAGCAGAGCUCACUGGAGAGUACUGAAUCACUGACAACCAAAAGCGUUAAGAAGUUACUGCCUGGAGUCUUUGAAGCUCUGGUUGAAGUUGCGAUUUUGGGUUUGGGGUCAAGCAAUGAAAACAUCUGCAUGCCCCAAAUCCACAUGCCCAGAAGGCUGGAAACAGACGUAAGCAAUAGCUAUGGAAGAAGUGGGCUGCCCCCAGAAUAGUCUGCUGUAAGGAGAACAGGUGAAAACACAGGAGGCACUGAAGUUUGGGAGCAGGUCAAGAGUGGAAGGAUAUAACCUCGUAGAGACCAGACCUCAAUCUGGUCCACAUUUAACAUCUACCUAAACUCAGAGUUUACUUUGUUUAGCACCAAAGUACAGAAAUGUCUCUUUUUUUCAAAGAAUAAACUAUAAAUACAAACACAUAUUGCAUUCAUUCCU